rnacentral:rRNA from 1 species
GACAGAGGGGGCAAGCGUUGCUCGGAAUUACUGGGCGUAAAGGGCGCGUAGGCGGGAUGGUAAGUCGGUCGUGAAAUCCCUCGGCUCAACCGAGGAACGUCGAUCGAUACUACCGUUCUUGAGGAUUGCAGAGGAGACUGGAAUUCCCGGUGUAGCGGUGAAAUGUGUAGAGAUCGGGAGGAACACCGGUGGCGAAGGCAAUCCCCUGGGCCUGCACUGACGCUCAUGCACGAAAGCGUGGGGAGCAAACAGG